rnacentral:rRNA from 1 species
UACGGAGGGUGCAAGCGUUAUCCGGAUUCACUGGUUUAAAGGGUGCGUAGGUGGGUCUGUAAGUCAGUGGUGAAAUCUCCGAGCUUAACUUGGAACUGCCAUUGAUACUAUAGAUCUUGAAUAUUGUGGAGGUCAGCGGAAUAUGUCAUGUAGCGGUGAAUGCUUAGAUAUGACAUAGAACACCAAUUGCGAAGGCAGCUGGCUACACAUAUAUUGACGACUGAGGCA